ACUACCAGCCUGAAGGCAGCAUAAGCUCCAUGAUCUGCUUAGACUGUGGCAUAGAGCGCCACAAAGUGGCUGCUUUAUAGUGCAGUUCAGCUAAAAUAACCCAAGCAGUUGCAUGUGUACCUACACUCUGUUUCUUUUCUAUGGUGAUCAUUCAGACGUCACCAAUAGAGGAAAAUCAUGUUGACUUUUUGGUCACACUCAUUUACCCAGAAUUGCCUGUUCAACUGCUGACAAGGGAGAGGUUUUGAAACUAAAGCUGGAGCCGUGUGUGCAUCAUUGGGAUAGCAGCUAGUCCCCACAAUGAUUUCAGAUUUUUGUUAUUGUAAUACUUUUGUACAUGUGGUUGAGUUGUGAUUGAUAAAAAAUCUAUUUUAGAGUUAUGGUUUAAAUGUGUUACCUGUCAGUGUAGGUAGGAUGCGAGGUCUGUCUUUUCCAAAAAGCUGAAGAAAAAUUGCAAGUUGUUUCUCCUUUGGGGCUUUGUCCAAGCCAUUGGCUAUCAGGGUGCUGCAGGCCUGGCUGAAUUCAUCAUCAUCCCAGGGUGGCAGAGAUGAGCCUGGACCCCCGAUGCAGUCAAGGUUGUCGAGGCUGCGAUUGUUGGAGAGCUCUCGCAGAGAUGGAAGACAGCUGGAAAAAGGAAAAACAAAAUGAAAGAGAUGUGUUUAGGAUACAGAUAUUGGGAGGCAAUAUUAGUAGGGUGUGAGAAAACGGUCAGAGAGAAGGUAGAAAUACAUUUUAUGUCAAUGUAUGAUGAGAGGUGGACGAAGGGAAAGAUAGAAUGGGGAAAAAUGAGCAAUAAUUGAAAGAGACAUUAAAGGUUCUUCCAGAAGA